AAUAGAUACCCAGGUAGUCCACCCCGUAAACGUUGGGAACUAGUUGUGGGGUCCUUUCCACGGAUUCCGUGACGCAGCUAACGCAUUAAGUUCCCCGCCUGGGGAGUACGGCCGCAAGGCUAAAACUCAAAGGAAUUGACGGGGACCCGCACAAGCGGCGGAGCAUGCGGAUUAAUUCGAUGCAACGCGAAGAACCUUACCAAGGCUUGACAUAUACGGGAAUGGGCCAGAAAUGGUCAGCUCUUUGGACACUCGUAUACAGGUGGUGCAUGGUUGUCGUCAGCUCGUGUCGUGAGAUGUUGGGUUAAGUCCCGCAACGAGCGCAACCCUCGUUCUAUGUUGCCAGCACGUUAUGGUGGGAACUCAUGGGACACUGCCGGGGUCAACUCGGAGGAAGGUGGGGAUGACGUCAAAUCAUCAUGCCCCUUAUGUCUUGGGCUUCACGCAUGCUACAAUGGCCGGUACAAUGGGCUGCGAUACCGUGAGGUGGAGCGAAUCCCAAAAAGCCGGUCCCAGUUCGGAUCGUAGUCUGCAACUCGACUACG
rnacentral:rRNA from 1 species